GCGAAAGUGGCGGAAUUGGUAGACGCACCAGAUUUAGGUUCUGGCGCCGUAAGGCGUGGGGGUUCGAGUCCCUCCUUUCGCACCA
rnacentral:tRNA from 1 species